UACGUAGGGUGCGAGCGUUAAUCGGAAUUACUGGGCGUAAAGCGUGCGCAGGCGGUUCGCUGUGUCCUGUGUGAAAGCCCCGGGCUUAACCUGGGAACUGCGUUUGAAACUACAAGGCUAGAGUGUGGCAGAGGGGGGUGGAAUUCCACGUGUAGCAGUGAAAUGCGUAGAGAUCCGGAAGAACACCGGUGGCGAGGCGCCGCUGGGCUAUGGCUGACACUGAGGCGCGACAGCGUGGGGAGCAAACAGG
rnacentral:rRNA from 1 species